UAAACGAACCGGUAGGUGAAAUCGUGCAACAGAUGUUUUUAAAGGCUUUUAUAUGUUUACUUAAAAUUUUAAAUAUAAUAAUUAUUAAAAAGUAUAUUAAACGUCUAUAUUUUUUCCUAUAUUUUAUAUAAAUUUUUAAGUGAUCCGGGAUUUAAAUCCGGUCGAUCCGGUCCAACCUUUGACCCCGUAAGGUGACCGGGUCGACCUCCGGUCCGGUCCUGAAAAAUUGGUUAGUAAUUAGAGGGGGUGUAUUUAGUAGCACCCGAACUUAAACUCUUCUAGGUUAUUCCCCGAAAAAAAAAGUCCGAUUAAUCAUUUCUUUUUGAAAAUGAACUUAAACUCUUCUGGGUUAUAUGGAUACCAGUCUUGUCAUCCAGGAAUUUAUUCCCUCCGCCUCUUCUACACCACCGAUAACCCUAACCUAGCGUCAUUAUUCCUAAUACAAAAUGAAAACCAGAAAAAGAUCUCAUGAAAGCUCAACUUCUCAUUGCUCAUCAAAUUGCAAAAGGAAAAAGAUGGAUGAUUUGGAAUGGUGUCAGCAUGAUGAAAAAUUCUUGACACUGUUAGCCAAUGUGCGCGACGAAGAAGAAGUGUCUAUGGGGACACAUACCAAUAAUGCAUUUUAUAAAAAAAUUUGCUGCUAGACUUUCAGCCGAUGCAGGUGUUUCUAUAUCAGAUAAUGAUGUUGCUGAUCGUGUGCGGCAUCAUAGAAGUGUUUAUAACAGUUAUAAGGUGAGUUUUUAUCAAAGUCAAGCUUAAAACUGGUUGCUAAAAAUGUACAUCUUUUGUGAUUUGCAGCCUGACCCGGAUAAAUUCCAGCAUGCUUUUAUUAACAGUUCUGAAUACUGCCAGUUGCUUACAAGAUGCUUCGCUGUUGCGAAGAAGAACAUAAGAGUCCCGCGAAAUCUGGGAAGUAGGCCAUCUCACAGUUUUGGUAGCACUUCCUCCAUAGCUCGAACUGCAGCUCCGGUAGCCACCGACCCCCAAUUAACAUUGGAGGACGAGCUUGCCCGUGUUCUUUCACACCUACAUAGCCAACAUGGAAUGCAUGCCAACACAUUAACGCUCUUUUCAUCUUACUGUGAGAGAAAUCGGUUGGCUAGUCUAGCGUUUUUGAAGUUGGUAGGGCAGUUAUAACAAUUAAAAGAGCUGUGGGGGACUGGGACUCUUGCUGCUGUCUUCCUCUUCAAGGUUCAAGCUGUAUGUUUGUAUUUCAAAUGGAGUUAAGACAAUUUCUAAAUUUUUAAGACAAUUUUUAAUGUUUUUAGCUGUAUGUUCUAAGGUACCUGUAGUUAUGGUGUCAAUUUUUAAGACAAUUUUUAAUGUUU